AUUGAACGCUGGCGGCAGGCCUAACACAUGCAAGUCGAGCGGAUGACGGGAGCUUGCUCCUUGAUUCAGCGGCGGACGGGUGAGUAAUGCAUAGGAAUCUGCCUGGUAGUGGGGGACAACGUUUCGAAAGGAACGCUAAUACCGCAUACGUCCUACGGGAGAAAGCAGGGGACCUUCGGGCCUUGCGCUAUCAGAUGACCCUAGGUCGGAUUAGCUAGUAGGUGAGGUAAGGGCUCACCUAGGCGACGAUCCGUAACUGGUCUGAGAGGAUGAUCAGUCACACUGGAACUGAGGCACGGUCCAGACUCCUACGGGAGGCAACAGUGGGGAAUAUUGGACAAUAGGCGAAAGCCUGAUCCAGCCAUGCCGCGUGUGUGAAGAAGGUCUUCGGAUUGUAAAGCACUUUAAGUUGGGAGGAAGGGCAGUAAGCUAAUACCUUGCUGUUUUGACGUUACCGACAGAAUAAGCACCGGCUAACUCUGUGCCAGCAGCCGCCGUAACAC
rnacentral:rRNA from 1 species